rnacentral:rRNA from 1 species
GUGUCAGCAGCCGCGGUAAGACGAACCGAGCGAACGUUGUUCGGAAUCACUGGGCUUAAAGGGCGCGUAGGCGGGUUCUCAAGUCCGGGGUGAAAUCCCACAGCUCAACUGUGGAACUGCCUCGGAUACUGGGAGUCUCGAGGGUGGCAGGGGUAUGCGGAACUAUCGGUGGAGCGGUGAAAUGCGUUGAUAUCGAUAGGAACUCCGGUGGCGAAGGCGGCAUACUGGUCCACUUCUGACGCUGAGGCGCGAAAGCCAGGGGAGCAAACGGGAUUAGAUACCCCGGUAGUCCUGGCCCUAAACGAUGGGUACUAGCUAGUAGGCUUCACAUGGGUUUACUGGCGAAGCAAAAGUGCUAAGUACCCCGCCUGGGGAGUAUGGUCGCAAGGCUGAA